rnacentral:lncRNA from 1 species
CAGCGCCCUGGUGAUUCAUGUGUACAUUAAAGUUUGCAAAUAGCCAUGAUUUUUCUGCUUCUUUAGGUAAUGGAGAGUCUUAUAAUGACUUUAGGCUACAAGUAUAGUUUCAAUUUCUAAAUCAGGAUGCCCAUUCUAGAUGUUAAUCAGACCUCCAGUCUUUAUCCAAAGAAAUGGAAAAUCGGGUUGUGACGCAACAUCUAUCAAGCAGAAGUAAAGGAUGAGAGGGUACAGUUGUUACAGCUCUAAGCCUUAACAGUGAAACUUAACUGAAGAAGGAUAUGGACCUGAUGAGAACGAGGCCUCCUGAGGACAAAUCACACUAGCUCUGCAGAGGAUUGAUGGCUCCAGUAGGCAGAUGGGAAAACCCAUCAAAAUGGGACUUUCCAGGAACAUAACCAUGAAAUUGCAAUUGAAAUGGCUUCUCACUUUUCUUCUUUUAACUAAGUGAGAGUAAAGUCACCAUGCAGGAUGGCAUACUGAUCUGUGCAUGUGUGUAUCUUGGUGUAUUCAUGUUGGAAAGGCUCUUAAGAAAAAAGCUGCUAAGAAUGAGAACUCAAUUUUGAGGAUUUGUCUUAAAGUUUCUUCAAAAAGAUUUCUCAAUGCAAAUGGUACACUUAUUUAAUAUACGGCUAAGGUUAGCAUAGUCUGCCUGCUGCUACCACAGCCCAUCAGUCUGUCUAGCUGCACUGGGGCAGGGGGUGCACCUGGGUUAAGUCUAACAGAACUCUGACCCUUUUUUUUUUUUUUUUUUGAGAUGGAGUUUCACUCUUGUUGCCCAGGCUGGAGUGCAAUGGCACGAUCUCGGCUUACUGCAACCUCCGCCUUCCAGGUUCA